rnacentral:rRNA from 1 species
AAACUCAAAGGAAUUGACGGGUCCCGCACAAGCAGCGGAGCGUGUGGUUUAAUUCGUUGCUACACGAAGAACCUUACCUGGGUUUGACAUAUAGGUUGUAGGGAACUGAAAAGGGACCGACCCUUCGGGGAGCCUAUACAGGUGUUGCAUGGCUGUCGUCAGCUCGUGUCGUGAGAUGUUCGGUUAAGUCCGCUAACGAGCGCAACCCUCGUCGUAUGUUAUAUGUGUCAUACGAGACUGCCGGUAAAAGCCGGAGGAAGGUGAGGAUGAUGUCAAGUCAGCAUGACCUUUAUAUCCAGGGCUACACACACGCUACAAUGGUCUGUACAAUGGGUAGCCAAGCCGCGAGGCGGAGCCAAUCCUGAAAGCAGGCCUCAGUUCAGAUUGCAGUCUGCAACUCGACUGCAUGAAGCCGGAGUUGCUAGUAACCGCAGGUCAGCAAUACUGCGGUGAAUACGUUCCCGGGUCUU